GACGAACCGUGCGAACGUUAUUCGGAAUCACUGGGCUUACAGGGUGCGUAGGCGGCUUGUCAAGUAGGGUGUGAAAGCCCCCGGCUCAACCGGGGAAUUGCGCCCUAAACUGGCGAGCUGGAGUGAGAUAGGGGUGUGCGGAACUUCCGGUGGAGCGGUGAAAUGUGUUGAUAUCGGAAGGAACGCCGGUGGCGAAAGCGGCACACUGGAUCUCAACUGACGCUGAGGCACGAAAGCCAGGGGAGCGAACGGG
rnacentral:rRNA from 1 species